rnacentral:rRNA from 1 species
UGGGGAAUAUUGGACAAUGGGGGGAACCCUGAUCCAGCCAUGCCGCGUGUGUGAAGAAGGCCUUAUGGUUGUAAAGCACUUUAAGCGAGGAGGAGGGUACUGGUAUUAAUACUACCAGCUACUGGACGUUACUCGCAGAAUAAGCACCGGCUAACUCUGUGCCAGCAGCCGCGGUAAUACAGAGGGUGAGAGCGUUAAUCAGAUUUACUGGGCGUAAAGCGUGCGUAGGCGGCUAAUUGAGUCGGAUGUGAAAUCCCCGAGCUUAACUUGGGAAUUGCAUUCGAUACUGGUUAGCUAGCGUGUGGGAGAGGAUGGUAGAAUUCCAGGUGUAGCGGUGAAAUGCGUAGAGAUCUGGAGGAAUGCCGAUGGCGAAGGCAGCCAUCUGGCCUAACACUGACGCUGAGGUACGAAAGCAUGGGGAGCAAACAGG